rnacentral:rRNA from 1 species
UGGUACCGGUGGAUCACGUGGCUAGUGUGUCGAUGAAGAGCGCAGCCAACUGUGUGAAUUAAUGUGAAUCGCAGACUGCUUUGAACAUCGACCUCUUGAACGCAAAUUGCGGCCGUAGGCUUGCCUAUGGCCACGUCUGGCCGAGGGUCGGCUUAUAAACUAUCACGACGCGUAAAAAGUCGUGGCUUGGAAGGUUGCCGGCGGGCGUUAAACUCUUAUUCAGUUCGAGAGAAGCCUGACAGCGACGGCUCCUUCUUAAUGUGGCUAUAUAAAGCACCAGUUGCCUUGUUAACGCGAAGCUUAUGGUAAUGUGUGUGUGUGUGCAUGUAAGUGUACAGUGCAUACAAGCCUUGCAUUAUUUUGUGUUAGUGUGUGUGUAAAAUGCUGGCUACAUUGGCCGUGGCUCAGUGUGUGUAUUUUGUAGAGUAGCACGCCUGUUUCCAGCAUUGAUGCAAGUAUUUGUAAGCCUGUGCACGAAUUGCUAUAAGCCUGAGUGUAAGGUAACGACCCAUUACAUACAUAUGGAGAGGGCUUCUCUCCAUUGUCUGACCUCGGAUCAGUCGUGAUUACCCGCUGAACUUAAGCAUAUCACUAAGCGGAGGAAAAGAAACUACCAGGA